GGCUCAGAUUGAACGCUGGCGGAAUGCUUUACACAUGCAAGUCGAGCGGCAGCGCGGGGGGCAACCCUGGCGGCGAGCGGCGAACGGGUGAGUAACAUAUCGGAACGUACCCCGUCGUGGGGGGAUAACACAGCGAAAGCUGUGCUAAUACCGCAUACGACCUGAGGGUGAAAGCGGGGGAUCGCAAGACCUCGCGCGAUGGGAGCGGCCGAUAUCGGAUUAGCUUGUUGGUGAGGUAAAGGCUCACCAAGGCGACGAUCUGUAGCUGGUCUGAGAGGACGACCAGCCACACUGGAACUGAGACACGGCCCAGACUCCUACGGGAGGCAGCAGUGGGGAAUUUUGGACAAUGGGCGCAAGCCUGAUCCAGCCAUGCCGCGUGAGUGAAGAAGGCCUUCGGGUUGUAAAGCUCUUUCAGACGGAAAGAAAUCGCGCGCUCUAACAUAGCGCGUGGAUGACGGUACCGUAAGAAGAAGCACCGGCUAACUACGUG
rnacentral:rRNA from 1 species